UGGGGAAUUUUGGACAAUGGGGGCAACCCUGAUCCAGCCAUGCCGCGUGAGUGAAGAAGGCCUUCGGGUUGUAAAGCUCUUUCGGCGGGGACGAAACGGUCCGUGACAACACCACGGGCUAAUGACAGUACUCGCAGAAGAAGCACCGGCUAACUACGUGCCAGCAGCCGCGGUAAUACGUAGGGUGCAAGCGUUAAUCGGAAUUACUGGGCGUAAAGCGUGCGCAGGCGGUUGUGUAAGUCAGAUGUGAAAUCCCCGGGCUCAACCUGGGAAUUGCAUUUGAGACUGCACGGCUAGAGUGUGUCAGAGGGGGGUAGAAUUCCACGUGUAGCAGUGAAAUGCGUAGAUAUGUGGAGGAAUACCGAUGGCGAAGGCAGCCCCCUGGGAUAACACUGACG
rnacentral:rRNA from 1 species